rnacentral:rRNA from 1 species
GACGAACGCUGGCGGCGUGCUUAACACAUGCAAGUCGAACGGAGAUAUAUAAAUAGUUUACUAUGAAUAUAUUUUAGUGGCGGACGGGUGAGUAACACGUGGGCAACCUGCCUUAGAGUGGGGGAUAACAACGAGAAAUCGUUGCUAAUACCGCAUGAAAUUAGAUUAUCGCAUGAUAGUUUAAUGAAAGGAGAAAUCCGCUAAAAGAUGGGCCCGCGCCUGAUUAGCUAGUUGGUGAGGUAAAAGCUCACCAAGGCGACGAUCAGUAGCCGAUCUGAGAGGAUGACCGGCCACACUGGAACUGAGACACGGUCCAGACUCCUACGGGAGGCAGCAGUGGGGAAUAUUGCACAAUGGGGGAAACCCUGAUGCAGCAACGCCGCGUGGAGGAAGAAGGUUUUCGGAUUGUAAACUCCUGUCUUUUGGGACGAUAAUGACGGUACCAAAAGAGGAAGCCACGGCUAACUACGUG